rnacentral:rRNA from 1 species
AUUGAACGCUGGCGGCAGGCCUAACACAUGCAAGUCGAGCGGUAGCACAGAGAGCUUGCUCUCGGGUGACGAGCGGCGGACGGGCGAGUAAUGUAUGGGAAACUGCCUGAUGGAGGGAGAUAACUACUGGAAACGGUAGCUAAUACCGCAUAACGUCGCAAGACCAAAGAGGGGGACCUUCGGGCCGCAUGCCAGCAGAUGUUCCCAGAUGGGAUUAGCUAGUAGGUGGGGUAACGGCUCACCUAGGCGACGAUCCCUAGCUGGUCUGAGAGGAUGACCAGCCACACUGGAACUGAGACACGGUCCAGACUCCUACGGGAGGCAGCAGUGGGGAAUAUUGCACAAUGGGCGCAAGCCUGAUGCAGCCAUGCCGCGUGUGUGAAGAAGGCCUUCGGGUUGUAAAGCACUUUCAGCGGGGAGGAAGGCGGUGAGGUUAAUAACCUCAUCGAUUGACGUUACCCGCAGAAGAAGCACCGGCUAACUCCGUGCCAGCCGCCGCAGUAA